GUUUGUGACUCUAAAGGUUCACUAAUAAUCCUAGUACUAGGUUCGAAACAUAUUUUUGGGAGCUAACACCUUAUUUUUAAAAUAUACUUAACCCAUGCUUUUUUAAAUACUGUCAUUAUCAUGUCUAUUUUUUCUUCUUUUUGCCAUGUUCUGUACCCUUUUUCUGACUAGGAGCAGCGUCGGUGAGUAAUACUGCUUCACGAGCCGAUGAGUUUAUAUGUUUGAAUCUGUCUGGUCCGAUGUGAACGCCCCCAAACCAACGUGAAACGCAAACAAAAACAUUUUCGGCAGACUGAGAAAUAGCAAGUUAGCAAGAUUUAGGUUGAUUUUAUUGAAUAACAUUUUCAGAUAGUACUUACCAUCAUAGUUAGCAAAUGACUCAUACGAGAACCAGCAGCUGAUUCUCCGUCAUCAUCAUUAUCCUGAAUAACGUUCCCGUUUGGGGAAAUAAUCCGAUAUGCUACCAUAUUAUGAUUCGCCUAUGCGUUAGCUAGGAUCUGAAAGACAUGUAGUAAUUUUCCUCGUGAGUAGGAGAAGUGUUUAGCACUGGAUAUCUGAAAAACAAACUUACCUUUGCAACUUUUUUAUCCAUAUACAAAUCUUCGAGAGCUUCGCGAACUUCUUCUGUAGAAUAAACACGCGUUGCAUGAGCCAUAAAGGUGCUUUUUCGAUCUGUGAUCGGUUCUGACUCUUUCCAAUCGAAUUUUGGUUUCCAUGGUUCGUCUUGAAUUUCUGGAGUUUUAGCUACAUAAUGAGAUUUAUUGAGCAUUACUGGUGUUUCUUUGUCUGAUUCUUCUUGCAAUUUGGAUUCUCUCUCUGCGGCUGCUUGUUCGGCAUCUAUAUCCACUAAUUCUUUCAGCAAAUCCAUAUAUGAGAAUAUACAUACAUCGCCUGUUGCAACAGACAAGAGGACGUCCUCUGCCAGUGUUUUAUCGAUCCCGUAAGCAUCUAAGACAGUAGGAGCCGAAUUUGGGUAGUCGAGUGGGAAUUGGAUGUUAAGUCGUACAGAUGAAUCUGGGAUACUCAGAGUAUAAGUGAAGCUUUGUUCAGAUAUAGGUAGUAAACAAGAAGGAUAUAUAC